rnacentral:rRNA from 1 species
AUUGAACGCUGGCGGCAGGCCUAACACAUGCAAGUCGAACGAGUGGCGGACGGGUGAGUAAUGUCUGGGAAACUGCCAGAGGGAGGGGGAUAACUACGGGAAACGGUAGCUAAUACGGAAUACCAUAGGAGGUGCCCAGAUGGGAUUGGCUAGUAGGUGGGGUAACGGCUCACCUAGGCGACGAUCCCUAGCUGGUAGGAGAGGAUGACCAGCCACACUGGAACUGAGACACGGUCCAGACUCCUACGGGAGGCAGCAGUGGGGAAUAUUGCACAAUGGGCGCAAGCCUGAUGCAGCCAUGCCGCGUGUAUGAAGAAGGCCUUCGGGUUGUAAAGUACUUUCAGCGAGGAGGCGUUACUCGCAGAAGAAGCACCGGCUAACUCCGUGCCAGCAGCCGCGGUAAUUC